UCCGUGGUGGCUCAGAUGGUAAAGCGUCUGCCUGCAACGCGGGAGACCCGGGUUCGAUCCCUGGGUCGGGAA
rnacentral:tRNA from 1 species